UUUCAUGAGUUUGAAAAAGAUAUGAAUUUGAUUAUAUGUCUUAUGCUUGUUGAUUGUGACUAAAGUAAGUCAAACGUGAAAUAUGAGAUUGAUAUGAUUGUUAACAUGUACAAACGAGUAUGCUAAUAAGAGUGUGAUUUCGACGAAAUGGAAGUAUAGGAAUCAAGUCGAGACGGGCUCAAGCACGAGGUGUUAACGGGCCAAGAGGAAGCAAGGGAUCGGAUAUGAACACGGAUGCAUGAGGAACGAGUACAUCGGAUUCUUACGAAAUUUAAGCCCAACCCGGAAUAAGAGGAUGAGUGAUACACGGACUUCUUCUGCUACUUAGGAAGUGAAGCGGACGUAGAUCGAGUCAAGAGCAAGGAUUGCACGGAUAGAUCGAUCAUAUAGUUGAAAUAUAUAA
rnacentral:lncRNA from 1 species